CAGGUCAGGCGGGACUACCCGCUGAGUUUAAGCAUAUCAAUAAGC
rnacentral:rRNA from 1 species